rnacentral:rRNA from 1 species
UACAGAGGGUGCGAGCGUUAAUCGGAAUUACUGGGCGUAAAGCGUGCGCAGGCGGUUUUGUAAGUCUGUCGUGAAAGCCCCGGGCUCAACCUGGGAAUUGCGAUGGAGACUGCAAGGCUUGAAUCUGGCAGAGGGGGGUAGAAUUCCACGUGUAGCAGUGAAAUGCGUAGAGAUGUGGAGGAACACCGAUGGCGAAGGCAGCCCCCUGGGUCAAGAUUGACGCUCAUGCACGAAAGCGUGGGGAGCGAACAGG